rnacentral:rRNA from 1 species
GACGAACGCUGGCGGCGUGCUUAACACAUGCAUGUCGAACGGUGACGAGGAGCUUGCUCCUCUGAUCAGUGGCGAACGGGUGAGUAACACGUGAGCAACCUGCCCCAGACUCUGGGAUAACAGUUGGAAACAGCUGCUAAUACCGGAUACGAGACGGAGAGGCAUCUCUACCGUCUGGAAAGUUUUUCGGUCUGGGAUGGACUCGCGGCCUAUCAGCUAGUUGGUGAGGUAAUGGCUCACCAAGGCGACGACGGGUAGCCGGCCUGAGAGGGCGACCGGCCACACUGGACUGAGACACGGCCCAGACUCCUACGGGAGGCAGCAGUGGGGAAUAUUGCACAAUGGGCGCAAGCCUGAUCCAGCCAUGCCGCGUGAGUGAAGAAGGCCUCGGUUGUAAGUACGUCUUUCGGUCCGGGAACGGAAAGUACGUGGUCGUCUAACAUAGGCCAUGUAUGACGGUACCGGACGU